UACGUAGGUGGCAAGCGUUGUCCGGAUUUACUGGGCGUAAAGCGUGCGCAGGCGGUUUUGUAAGCCAGAUGUGAAAUCCCCGGGCUUAACCUGGGAAUGGCAUUUGGGACUGCAAGGCUCGAGUGCGGCAGAGGAGACUGGAAUUCCUGGUGUAGCAGUGAAAUGCGUAGAUAUCAGGAGGAACACCAGUGGCGAAGGCGACUACCUGGCCUGUUCUUGACGCUGAGGCGCGAAAGCUAGGGGAGCAAACGGG
rnacentral:rRNA from 1 species